rnacentral:rRNA from 1 species
AUUGAACGCUGGCGGCAGGCCUAACACAUGCAAGUCGAGCGGUAGAGAGAAGCUUGCUUCUCUUGAGAGCGGCGGACGGGUGAGUAAUGCCUAGGAAUCUGCCUGGUAGUGGGGGAUAACGUUCGGAAACGGACGCUAAUACCGCAUACGUCCUACGGGAGAAAGCAGGGGACCUUCGGGCCUUGCGCUAUCAGAUGAGCCUAGGUCGGAUUAGCUAGUUGGUGGGGUAAUGGCUCACCAAGGCGACGAU